CCUACGGGAGGCAGCAGUGGGGAAUAUUGCACAAUGGGGGAAACCCUGAUGCAGCGACGCCGCGUGAGUGAAGAAGUAACUCGUUAUGUAAAGCUCUAUCUGCAGGGAAGAAAAUGACGGUACCUGAGUAAGAAGCCCCGGCUAACUACGUGCCAGCAGCCGCGGUAAGACGUAGGGGGCCAGCGUUAUCCGGAUUUACUGGGUGUAAAGGGAGCGUAGACGGCAGUGCAAGUCUGGAGUGAAAGGCGGGGGCUCAACCCCCGGACUGCCCUGGAAACUGUACGGCUGGAGUGCAGGAGAGGUAAGUGGAAUUCCUAGUGUAGCGGUGAAAUGCGUAGAUAUUAGGAGGAACACCAGUGGCGAAGGCAGCUUACUGGACUGUAACUGACGUUGAGGCUCGAAAGCGUGGGGAGCAAACAGGAUUAGAUACCCUGGUAGUC
rnacentral:rRNA from 1 species